rnacentral:rRNA from 1 species
GACGAACGCUGGCGGCGUGCUUAACACAUGCAAGUCGCACGGAGUGGCGAACGGGUGAGUCACACGUGGGUGAUCUGCCUUGCACUUCGGUAUAAGCUUGGGAAACUGGGUCUAAUACCGGCUCGUGAAAUAUGGGCUUGCGGCAUAUCAGCUUGUUGGUGGGGUAAUGGCCUAUCAAGGCGUCGACGGGUAGCCGGCCGGAGAGGGUGUACGGCCACAUUUGGACUGAGGUCCGGCCCAGACUCCUACGGGAGGCAGCAGUGGGGAAUAUUGCGCAAUGGGCGGAAGCCUGAUGCAGCGACGCCGCGUGGGGGAUGAAGGCCGUCGGGUUGUAAACUCCUUUCGACAGGGACGCGGUACCUGUAUAAGAAGCACCGGCUAACUACGUGCCAGCAGCCGCGGUAAUUC